ACGACGACCACUGUUAUUCCUUCUUCUUCACUUCACCACUGAAGACUCACAAGCCAGCUUCCAAGGGCGGAGACCGAACAGACAUAUCGUUCAGAAGACGACGGCGGCGGCGGCGGCGGAAUUCCGCAACUAGUGCUCUGUGAUGCAGUUAUCAGAACGGAUUGGGGGUGGAAAGCGAGCACUCUGCCAGAUCGAACGAGAAGCAAGGGGGAAGAACUUCAAUCCGGGAAGAAGAAGGGAUUCAAUGGCUUGGGUGGCGGUAGCGCGGCUGAGCAGACAAAGACGACGGACGCCGAGCUGACCUCGAGGAAGAAGCUGCGAUCGGUGAAAGCGAACAGGAGUUGGAGACUUGGAGCACGACAGAAGCUAGGUGGACGGACGGACGGCGGCUUUUAGUGCGACGGACGGCGGAGAUGUGCCACUGC